rnacentral:rRNA from 1 species
ACGUAGGGGGCAAGCGGGAAAAGGAAAAAAUGGGAGAAAAGAGGGAGGAGGGGGUUUUUUAAGCGUGAGGUGAAAGGCAAUAGCUUAACUAUUGUAAGCCUUGCGAACUGGAAGACUUGAGUGCAGGAGAGGAAAGUGGAAUUCCUAGUGUAGCGGUGAAAUGCGUAGAUAUUAGGAGGAACACCAGUGGCGAAGGCGACUUUCUGGACUGUAACUGACACUGAGGCACGAAAGCGUGGGGAGCAAACAG